rnacentral:misc_RNA from 1 species
CUCACCUCGCCUGGGUGCCUAGGCAGCUCAUGGUUGAAGUCGUCUUGUCUGGAUGCUUCCUAGGCGAGGUGCCUGGAUUUCGCCUUGCUUGGGUGCCUAGGCGAGCGCCCGGUGACAACACUGUUUGUCACGGUUUUUCAAAAUUUUUAUAUUUUGAAUCUAUUAUUUAAAUUUUUUUUAUUGAUUUUCUUUCAAAUAUUGAAGGUUUGUGCAAAUAUAAUCUCACUUUUACCUAUUAUAUUAAGG